AUGACUCCCCUUACCUCAGGUGCGCUGUCUGAUCUGAUACUUCGGGAGUCAGGAUCGAGCCCGGUGAAGCCCGGGGAGACCCUGUCCCUCACCUGCACUGUCACCGGGGGCUCUGUCACUAGUAGUAACUCCCGGCAUUGGAUCCGCCAGCCUCCUAGGAAAGCUCUACAGUGGAUGGGGUACUGGUCAGGGUACACGGGCUACAACGCGGCAUUCAAGGGCCGCAUCUCCACCACUGCUGACACAGCUAAGAACCAGUUCUCCCUGCAGCUGAACUCCGUGACCGCCGAAGACACGGCUGUGUAUUACUGUGCACGAUGCGGUGAGAGAACAUCAGUGUGA